CUGAAAUCAGGCGGGAUUA
rnacentral:rRNA from 1 species